rnacentral:rRNA from 1 species
CCCUUAGAUGUCUGGGGCCGCACGCGCGCUACACUGAAGGAAUCAGCGUGGCUUUCUCCCUGACCCGAAAGGGUUGGGAAACCCGUUGAAUCUCCUUCGUGAUAGGGAUUGGGGCUUGAAAUUGUUCCCCAUGAACGAGGAAUUCCCAGUAAGCGCGAGUCAUAAGCUCGCGUUGAUUACGUCCCUGCCCUUUGUACACACCGCCCGUCGCUACUACCGAUUGAACGGUUUAGUGAGGGCCUCGGAUUGGUCUCGGCCCGCUCUUUACCGGGCGGCGCCGUUGGUCGAGAAGACGCUCGAACUUGAUCGUUUAGAGGAAGUAAAAGUCGUAACA